rnacentral:rRNA from 1 species
UACGUAGGGUGCGAGCGUUGUCCGGAAUUAUUGGGCGUAAAGAGCUCGUAGGCGGUCUGUCGCGUCUGCUGUGAAAACCCGAGGCUCAACCUCGGGCCUGCAGUGGGUACGGGCAGACUUGAGUACUGCAGGGGAGACUGGAAUUCCUGGUGUAGCGGUGGAAUGCGCAGAUAUCAGGAGGAACACCGGUGGCGAAGGCGGGUCUCUGGGCAGUAACUGACGCUGAGAAGCGAAAGCGUGGGGAGCGAACAGG